UACGAAGGGGGGCGAGCGUUGUUCGGAAUUACUGGGCGUAAAGGGCGCGCAGGCGGCCCCUUGAAGUCAGGCGUGAAAGCCCCCGGGCUCAACCUGGGAGGUGCGCUUGAUACUCGAGGGCUUGAGUGCGGGGAGAGGAAAGUGGAAUUCCUGGUGUAGCGGUGAAAUGCGUAGAUAUCAGGAGGAACACCGGUGGUGUAAACGCUUUCUGGACCAUAACUACGUGAGGCACGAAAAGCGUGGGGUAGCAAAACAGG
rnacentral:rRNA from 1 species